GCCUGGUUAGCUCAGUUGGUUAGAGCGCCGUGCUAGUGUUCCGGCGGUCGUGGGUUCGAGCCCCACACCGGGCG